rnacentral:rRNA from 1 species
UACGGUGGGGGCAAGCGUUGUUCGGAAUUACUGGGCGUAAAGGGUUCGUAGGUGGCUCGCUAAGUCAGACGUGAAAUCCCUCAGCUUAACUGGGGAACUGCGUCUGAGACUGGCGAGCUUGAGUGCAGGAGAGGAACGCGGAAUUCCAGGUGUAGCGGUGAAAUGCGUAGAUAUCUGGAGGAACACCGGUGGCGAAGGCGGCGUUCUGGACUGCAACUGACACUGAGAAACGAAAGCCAGGGGAGCAAACGGG